rnacentral:rRNA from 1 species
AGAGUUUGAUCCUGGCUCAGGAUGAACGCUAGCUACAGGCUUAACACAUGCAAGUCGAGGGGCAGCAUGAACUUAGCUUGCUAAGUUUGAUGGCGACCGGCGCACGGGUGAGUAACACGUAUCCAACCUGCCGAUGACUCGGGGAUAGCCUUUCGAAAGAAAGAUUAAUACCCGAUGGCAUAAUUCUUCCGCAUGGUAGAAUUAUUAAAGAAUUUCGGUCAUCGAUGGGGAUGCGUUCCAUUAGGUUGUUGGCGGGGUAACGCCCACCAAGCCUUCGAUGGAUAGGGGUUCUGGAGAGGAAGGUCCCCCACAUUGGAACUGAGACACGGUCCAAACUCCUACGGGAGCA